CAGCAGCCGCGGGAAUACGAAGGGUGCAAGCGUUAAUCGGAAUUACUGGGCGUAAAGCGUGCGUAGGCGGUUUGUUAAGUCUGUUGUGAAAUCCCCGGGCUCAACCUGGGAAUGGCAAUGGAUACUGGCAAGCUAGAGUGUGUCGGAGGAUGGUGGAAUUCCCGGUGUAGCGGUGAAAUGCGUAGAGAUCGGGAGGAACAUCAGUGGCGAAGGCGGCCAUCUGGGACAACACUGACGCUGAGGCACGAAAGCGUGGGGAGCAAACAGGAUUAGAUACCCGCGUAGUCCCUGUCUCUUAUAC
rnacentral:rRNA from 1 species